rnacentral:rRNA from 1 species
AACGAACGCUGGCGGCAUGCCUAACACAUGCAAGUCGAACGAGACCUUCGGGUCUAGUGGCGCACGGGUGCGUAACGCGUGGGAACCUGCCCUUAGGUUCGGAAUAACUCCCCGAAAGGGGUGCUAAUACCGGAUAAUGUCUUCGGACCAAAGAUUUAUCGCCUUUGGAUGGGCCCGCGUUGGAUUAGCUAGUUGGUAGGGUAAAAGCCUACCAAGGCGACGAUCCAUAGCUGGUCUGAGAGGAUGAUCAGCCACACUGGGACUGAGACACGGCCCAGACUCCUACGGGAGGCAGCAGUGGGGAAUAUUGGACAAUGGGCGAAAGCCUGAUCCAGCAAUGCCGCAUGAGUGAUGAAGGCCUUAGGGUUGUAAAGCUCUUUUACCCGGGAUGAUAAUGACAGUACCGGGAGAAUAAGCUCCGGCUAACUCCGU